rnacentral:rRNA from 1 species
CGUAGGGUGCGAGCGUUAAUCGGAAUUACUGGGCGUAAAGCGUGCGCAGGCGGUUUUGUAAGACAGAUGUGAAAUCCCCGGGCUCAACCUGGGACCUGCAUUUGUGACUGCAAGGCUAGAGUACGGUAGAGGGGGAUGGAAUUCCGCGUGUAGCAGUGAAAUGCGUAGAUAUGCGGAGGAACACCGAUGGCGAAGGCAAUCCCCUGGACCUGUACUGACGCUCAUGCACGAAAGCGUGGGGAGCAAACAGGAUUAGAUACCCUGGUAGCCCACGCCCUAAACGAUGUCAACUGGUUGUUGGGUCUUUACUGACUCAGUAACGAAGCUAACGCGUGAAGUUGACCGCCUGGGGAGUACGGCCGCAAGGUUG